UUUAUUUGAUUAGAUCUCACAAAUACAUUAUUGGAGUUUGCUAUAUCUAUCAACUAGGUAAAAAAAAUAAAUUAACCACUAAUUGUAGAAUUUUUAACACAAAUGAGUUCUUGGAGAGUAAAGAGAAGAAGAAAGAUGAAAAAAAAAUUGCAGAAGCAACAAAAGCUGCUGUGUGCAGCAUUGGGAAGAAGAGAGAUGAUCAUUCUGCAUGGCAUCCAUGAUUUAUAUAGUGAAAGGGGUUAAAGUUUUUUCUUUU
rnacentral:lncRNA from 1 species